GCGGAGGGAUCAUUACCGAGUUUACAACUCCCAAACCCAAUGUGAACGUUACCAAACUGUUGCCUCGGCGGGAUCUCUGCCCCGGGUGCGUCGCAGCCCCGGACCAAGGCGCCCGCCGGAGGACCAACCAAAACUCUUAUUGUAUACCCCCUCGCGGGUUUUUUACUAUCUGAGCCAUCUCGGCGCCCCUCGUGGGCGUUUCGAAAAUGAAUCAAAACUUUCAACAACGGAUCUCUUGGUUCUGGCAUCGAUGAAGAACGCAGCGAAAUGCGAUAAGUAAUGUGAAUUGCAGAAUUCAGUGAAUCAUCGAAUCUUUGAACGCACAUUGCGCCCGCCAGUAUUCUGGCGGGCAUGCCUGUCCGAGCGUCAUUUCAACCCUCGAACCCCUCCGGGGGGUCGGCGUUGGGGAUCGGCCCUUUACGGGGCCGGCCCCGAAAUACAGUGGCGGUCUCGCCGCAGCCUCUCCUGCGCAGUAGUUUGCACACUCGCAUCGGGAGCGCGGCGCGUCCACAGCCGUUAAACACCCCAAACUUCUGAAAUGUUGACCUCGGAUCAGGUAGGAAUACCCGCUGAACUUAAGCAUAUCAAUAA
rnacentral:misc_RNA from 1 species